GCCUUCGUGGUGUAAGGGUUAGCUCGCUAAGUGCGAAUUCGAGAGGUCUGUGGUUCGAAUCCCGGCGAGGGCA
rnacentral:tRNA from 1 species